AACGAACGCUGGCGGCAUGCCUAACACAUGCAAGUCGAACGAGACCUUCGGGUCUAGUGGCGCACGGGUGCGUAACGCGUGGGAAUCUGCCCUUGGGUUCGGAAUAACAGUGAGAAAUUACUGCUAAUACCGGAUGAUGUCUUCGGACCAAAGAUUUAUCGCCCAGGGAUGAGCCCGCGUAGGAUUAGGUAGUUGGUGGGGUAAUGGCCUACCAAGCCGACGAUCCUUAGCUGGUCUGAGAGGAUGAUCAGCCACACUGGGACUGAGACACGGCCCAGACUCCUACGGGAGGCAGCAGUGGGGAAUAUUGGACAAUGGGCGAAAGCCUGAUCCAGCAAUGCCGCGUGAGUGAUGAAGGCCUUAGGGUUGUAAAGCUCUUUUACCAGGGAUGAUAAUGACAGUACCUGGAGAAUAAGCUCCGGCUAACUCCGUGCCAGCCGCCGCCGUAAUAC
rnacentral:rRNA from 1 species